rnacentral:rRNA from 2 species
UUAAAUUGAAGAGUUUGAUCAUGGCUCAGAUUGAACGCUGGCGGCAGGCCUAACACAUGCAAGUCGAACGGUAACAGGAAUCAGCUUGCUGAUUCGCUGACGAGUGGCGGACGGG